rnacentral:rRNA from 1 species
GAUGAACGCUGGCGGCGUGCCGAACACAUGCAAGUCGAGCGAAGCACUUUGCUUAGAUUCUUCGGAUGAAGAGGAUUGUGACUGAGCGGCGGACGGGUGAGUAACGCGUGGGUAACCUGCCUCAUACAGGGGGAUAACAGUUAGACAUGACUGCUAAUACCGCAUAAGACCACAGCACCGCAUGGUGCGGGGGUAAAAACUCCGGUGGUAUGAGAUGGACCCGCGUCUGAUUAGCUAGUUGGUAAGGUAACGGCUUACCAAGGCGACGAUCAGUAGCCGACCUGAGAGGGUGACCGGCCACAUUGGGACUGAGACACGGCCCAAACUCCUACGGGAGGCAGCAGUGGGGAAUAUUGCACAAUGGGGGAAACCCUGAUGCAGCGACGCCGCGUGAGCGAAGAAGUAUUUCGGUAUGUAAAGCUCUAUCAGCAGGGAAGAAAAUGACGGUACCCGACUAAGAAGCACCGGCUAAAUACGUGCCAGCAGCCGCGGUAAUACGUAUGGUGCAAGCGUUAUCCGGAUUUACUGGGUGUAAAGGGAGCGUAGACGGAUGGGCAAGUCUGAUGUGAAAACCCGGGGCUCAACCCCGGGACUGCAUUGGAAACUGUUCAUCUAGAGUGCUGGAGAGGUAAGUGGAAUUCCUAGUGUAGCGGUGAAAUGCGUAGAUAUUAGGAGGAACACCAGUGGCGAAGGCGGCUUACUGGACAGUAACUGACGUUGAGGCUCGAAAGCGUGGGGAGCAAACAGG